GUGAAGCAGUUUGAGAUAAGAGGUUGCUCUCCAUAUUCUGUUAGUUGAAGACAGGGUUUUUGUUUAGCAUUUCUGAGAAACAGCAAUAACAAAACUCAAACACUAUAAUAAACCUAUUGAGUUUUAUAAACUGGUUGUUUGGAGGAAGCUCCACCAGAUGUGAAAAUCAUGGCUACUGCAGAGGAAGACUGUAGACUGAGGAGACCAGAAAGAACUUGGCAGCCUGAGGAACAUGGUGUAGAGUUUAAUAGGACCAAGCUACAGGAGUACCUUGAGAUCUUCCUUCGUCUUUGACUCAUGGUAAUUGACACACUGUAAGGUCUUACAUCAAAUCAGCACACAUCAGAGGACAAAGGGGCCAUAACCUAUCUGCAAAUUGAAACAGCAGCAGCAAGGUCUAAAACACAGAUUUUGAAAAAGCCCAGAGGUAUCUGGA